GGCUAGCCAUUCGUAAAGACCUAAUGGUGACCUUUAGCAUUCAACACAGGAACUGGCUCAUUCCCUUGCCAACCUGCCCCACUGUAUGUCUACAGUAUCUGUUCAGAAAAAUGCUUCUUACGUUUUAAAGAUCUUCUGUACACUCGUUUGGGAUUUCCUUCAGGCUGGCACUCAGUGAAAUAGUACUUUAUUUAAACCAGCGACGUGGUAGUAGUCGUCGGACGUACGACAAAUCAUGGCUUUUUGAGUAAACUAUAACGUCACCCCCCUCCCACGACGAAAGUGUAAACAAAGUUAACAGGUUGCCAAAGAGCCGAAGGAAUUCCUGUUCCUGUUGACCGACACGUCUCUUGUUAGUCUACCUGAGUGUCGUGUUGCAGCAAAUGCACAGCAGUAUGGUACCCGAGCCGCCUCCACCGUACCACGAGGCUGUCAACUCCGAGGGGCAACCCCCGAGUCCAAAUGGAGUCGGUUUUGGACAGGUUCCAUACCCUGUCAAUCCUCCUCCUGUCACCACCCAACCUGUCGUCACUCCUUACGGUGUCGUCGUAGAGGAGAGUGCGGCGCCCCCUGUAGCCGUAGUAGGUACUGCAGCCGCGCCUCCACAUGAUGGUAAAAGGAAACGACACAGGCAUGACCGCACAAGUGACUGGUGUGCCUGGUGCUACUGUGGUCCCGGAUGUCACUGCGGGGAUUGCGACUGUGGCGAUUGUGACUGUGGCGAUUGUGACUGUGGCAAUUGCGAUUGUGACUGCGAUUUCUAAGUUCUAACUGUAGUUUCUGGUAGCCUCCAUAGCAUGCCAUAGCGUGCUACUUUCUUUAGUAGCCGAGGCGUACUACUCAUCAUUUUAAAAUUGGUAGGAUUUUCCCUGCAGAGAUCAUCAUACUAGUAUGUAAAUAAUAAUGUACCCGUAUCCAUGCAGUUUUUAUUAUCGUACCUCAGUAAGCCUAUAUAAGUCUAUACAUGUCUCGUACCUACCAUAUGGAAGAUGUAACUUUUAAUUGAAUGAUACUUGGAAUAAAAUUUAACUUGAAAAAAAUUCAUAUCAGUUUGUAGCUGAUAUUGUGUCAUGCUGUGUGCCCCAAUCGUCUUGUGGACAUUAACAACGUGUCUAUUAAUUUGAGUUUAUUUAAAACUUUUCAACUUUUGGUAUACUGGCCGGGUUACAUUGCAAGAAUUGUUAUUAUAUUCGUCAUUAUGAUUACUGUUACCUGAAUAAAUUUAUGAUUAUACAUGUAGCUACCGUAUCUGUAUCAUAUUCUUGCUGUACGAAUAGGAAGACCCUGUAAUACGUUCAAUGUAGCUGCUAUAGCAGUUAUGCUCGUCAGACCUGAUAUAACAUUCACAAUGAAAGUUUUAUUGCAAAUUCGUGCCCGAGGGCUAAUUUCAAGUACAAAAGAAACAUUUGGUAUAAGAACAGGUAAUUCAUACACAGACUGUUAACUCUUUAAAACUACUGGGUCUGACUUCUUUUUUUGAAGACAGAGGAAGACAAAGGAUCCCACUUUUUCUGUAAUUUGUGG